CGGAAGCACAUCUCCUUGUUUCAUUCAACUGGUUAUAUCAACAUUGAAAAUGCCACCAGCAAGGAGAGCAAAUGCUGAAAUUCUGCUACCAACUAGGCCCAACGUUGCAAUAUUACAACGUUUCCCUAAAAACUUACAAAAACAUU